ACUUAGGUGGCAGAUAAAGUGCAACGGGCCUAAGACUCGUCUAUAAGGAAACCUUCCUAAGUU
rnacentral:tRNA from 1 species